rnacentral:tRNA from 1 species
GCCGAGGUAGCUCAGCCCGGUAGAGCAGCGGACUGAAAAUCCGCGUGUCGCCAGUUCAACUCUGGCCCUCGGCACCA